rnacentral:rRNA from 1 species
AGUGAACGCUGGCGGUAGGCCUAACACAUGCAAGUCGAACGGCAGCACAGUAAGAGCUUGCUCUUACGGGUGGCGAGUGGCAGACGGGUGAGGAAUACAUCGGAAUCUACCUUUUCGUGGGGGAUAACGUAGGGAAACUUACGCUAAUACCGCAUACGACCUACGGGUGAAAGCAGGGGAUCUUCGGACCUUGCGCGAUUGAAUGAGCCGAUGUCGGAUUAGCUAGUUGGCGGGGUAAAGGCCCACCAAGGCGACGAUCCGUAGCUGGUCUGAGAGGAUGAUCAGCCACACUGGAACUGAGACACGGUCCAGACUCCUACGGGAGGCAGCAGUGGGGAAUAUUGGACAAUGGGCGCAAGCCUGAUCCAGCCAUACCGCGUGGGUGAAGAAGGCCUUCGGGUUGUAAAGCCCUUUUGUUGGGAAAGAAAAGCAGCAGGUUAAUACCCCGCUGUUCUGACGGUACCCAAAGAAUAAGCACCGGCUAACUUCGUG